GGGGCAUUAGCGCAGCUGGGAGCGCGUUUGACUGGCAGUCAAGAGGUCACGAGUUCGAGCCUCGUAUGCUCCA
rnacentral:tRNA from 1 species